rnacentral:rRNA from 1 species
GCUUUCGCUGACGAGUGGCGGACGGGUGAGUAAUGUCUGGGAAACUGCCUGAUGGAGGGGGAUAACUACUGGAAACGGUAGCUAAUACCGCAUAACGUCGCAAGACCAAAGAGGGGGACCUUCGGGCCUCUUGCCAUCGGAUGUGCCCAGAUGGGAUUAGCUUGUUGGUGGGGUAACGGCUCACCAAGGCGACGAUCCCUAGCUGGUCUGAGAGGAUGACCAGCCACACUGGAACUGAGACACGGUCCAGACUCCUACGGGAGGCAGCAGUGGGGAAUAUUGCACAAUGGGCGCAAGCCUGAUGCAGCCAUGCCGCGUGUAUGAAGAAGGCCUUCGGGUUGUAAAGUACUUUCAGCGGGGAGGAAGGGAGUAAAGUUAAUACCUUUGCUCAUUGACGUUACCCGCAGAAGAAGCACCGGCUAACUCCGUGCCAGCAGCCGCGGUAAUACGGAGGGUGCAAGCGUUAAUCGGAAUUACUGGGCGUAAAGCGCACGCAGGCGGUUUGUUAAGUCAGAUGU